UAAUUUUUAUUUAAGUUUUUAUUUUUCCCGAAUUAAAAAGAGCUAGGAAGUUAUUUAUUUUAUUGUUGCAUUAAUAUUUAUAAUUGCUUUCUUGUAAUGAAACGUUAUUCGUUUUUUAAUAUAUCUGGUUUUUCAAGAAAUUAUUUUAAUUUGUUUUGUUCAUAUUACUAUUAUAAUUUUGUAUUUUAGUUGUUUGAAUAAUUAAAUAUCUGAGGGGAUAAGCUUUUAGAUUUAUUCAUUAAAAGUGUUUAUUUUGUAUUAAUUUAUAGGAUUAGAAUUUUCCAUUUUAAUAAGGAUGUUAUAAUUUAUUUUUAUUGGUUUUGAUUUUUAUCUGCUUUAAUUUUUUUAUUGAAAUUUUUUUAGUAAUUUUAAAUUUUAAUUGAUUAUGAUAAAAUUAGUAUAUUUAUUGUAUAAAUAUUUUAGAUUUAUAGGUUAUUAUAAGGAACUCGGCAAAUAUAAUUUUCACCUGUUUAAUAAAAACAUGUCUUUUUGAUAAUUAUUUAAAGUCUGUCCUGCCCAAUGAUUUUUAUUUAAUGGCCGCAGUAUUUUGACUGUGCAAAGGUAGCAUAAUCAUUAGUUUUUUAAUUGAAAGCUGGUAUGAAUGGUUUGAUGAAAAAUUAACUGUCUCAUUUUAAUUUUAUUAGAAUUUUAUUUUUAAGUUAAAAUGCUUAAAUGUUUUAUAAAGACGAGAAGACCCUAUAGAGUUUAAUAUUAUAAUAAUUUAUUUAUUUUAUGUUUUUAAUUUAGAUUUUUUGUUUUGGUAUUUUGCUGGGGCGGUUAGAAAAUUUAUUUAACUUUUCUUUUAUUUUUACAUUUAUUUUUGAGUUUAUGAUCCUUUUUAUUGAUUUUAAGAUUAAAUUACCUUAGGGAUAACAGCGUAAUUUUUUUGGAAAGUUCAUAUUUAUAAAAAAGUUUGCGACCUCGAUGUUGGAUUAAAA
rnacentral:rRNA from 1 species